UACGGGGGGGGCAAGCGUUGUUCGGAAUUACUGGGCGUAAAGGGCUCGUAGGCGGCCAACUAAGUCAGAUGUGAAAUCCCCAGGCUCAACCUGGGAACUGCAUCUGAUACUGGAUGGCUUGAAUUCGGGAGAGGGAUGCAGAAUUCCAGGUGUAGCGGUGAAAUGCGUAGAUAUCCGGAGGAACACCAGUGGCGAAGGCGGCUUCCUGGACCGACACUGACGCUGAGGCGCGAAAGCUAGGGGAGCAAACGGG
rnacentral:rRNA from 1 species